AUUCAGGCUGACAAGUCCCAAAUAGGACGAAACACGCGUUGAACUGGAU
rnacentral:hammerhead_ribozyme from 1 species